CUCACCAGCACGAGAGUCGCCGUUUUAACAGCAAGCGCGACCACGAGCAUCCGGGAGAUUCAGCUAGCUAGUUAGCUACGUGCUAACGCCGUGUUUAGCUUCCCAUGCUCGCUUUUUAAAUUAACGGGGACAUAAUCCAGCACGGACAGAUACGUGAGUUUUUCACAGGAACUUAAAGGAAGGAAACCUCUCAUAUUAAAGAGUGUCUUAUUAGAGAAGGAAUGAGCGGCCAGUCUGUGUGAAACGGGUCUUUCUCAGGAAAAGUGGGAGCGGCGAGCCGAAUACCGGCACAGAAACCCCCGACCCCCCCGCCCCACCCCUGGUCACACGCCAUGUCUUCAUUAGCGGCCGCUUAAAUGCGCGAGCACGUCUUUUCUCUGUUGCUCUGCUCUGGUUUUGUCUUUAUUGGUUGAAUUUGGGAGGCAGGUUGCCUCUCGCUAAGCUGCGAUAAGUAUGCUAUCAACUCGUGGAACAAGAUGCGAUUGCUUUCAUUUGGAAAAGUAGCACUUAAGUCAUUUUCCCCCCCCGGGAAUUUAAACAUGAGCGGGGAGAAAGAGACUGAGACAGAUUGAAAGGGACUGAGAGAAAUUGGGCGAGGACAAUGUUUUUCUUGUCUGUUUUUCGAAGUUUGAGGAGUCGGGGGAAUUGUCAGUAAUGAGAAAUACAACAGCUGAGUGAUGAUGAUUCGUUUUGGUUUUUCACCCGUGAGAAGAUCUGCGCCACAAUUAUUUAUUUAUUUAUUUUUUGUCAUAGAUGUGUCGUAGAUUCCCAAGAAUUUGAUCUCUCAAUAUCCUGAAAUUCAAAUAAGAAUCGGUUCCCUGUCGCAUUAUCUUCAACAGCAGCCCAGCGUGAGUAAGUCGGGCUCAGUAGAUGAGAAUCAGACAGUUGCCUGAAAUGCAAUUUGCGUGCUUGUGUUCACUGAAGGGG
ensembl:lncRNA